GACUUGGUGGCGUAAUGGUAACGCGCUCCGUGUACCUAACGUUCCCAUAUUUGUUUAACGGAAAGUCCGGAGUUCGAUUCUCCAUCCAGCCA